rnacentral:rRNA from 1 species
CCCUUAGAUGUUCUGGGCCGCACGCGCGCUACACUGAUGCGUUCAACGAGUAUAAAACCUUGAUCGAUAGGUCUGGGUAAUCUUGUGAAUGCGCAUCGUGCUAGGGAUAGACUGUUGCAAUUUUCAGUCUUGAACGAGGAAUUCCUAGUAAACGCAAGUCAUCAGCUUGCAUUGAUUACCUCCCUGCCCUUUGUACACACCGCCCGUCGCACCUACCGAUUGAAUGACUCGGUGAAAAAUUGGGACCGUGAGUCUGUUUGCUUAAUUGCGAGUGGAUUGAUGGGAACUUUUUUAAACCUCGCCAUUUAGAGGAAGGUGAAGUCGUAACAAGGUUUCCGUAGGUGAACCUGCGGAAGGAUCAUUA